rnacentral:snoRNA from 1 species
AUGAUGAAUACCCUUUAAUAUUAGUUUAUGGUUAGAUAACUGAUCAAUCGUGUGGAAUACUCUAGGGCGGUCUGAUUU